AUUGAACGCUGGCGGCAUGCUUUACACAUGCAAGUCGGACGGCAGCGGGGUAGUGCUUGCACUACUGCCGGCGAGUGGCGAACGGGUGAGUAAUAUAUUGGAACGUACCGAGUAAUGGGGGAUAACCAAUCGAAAGAUUGGCUAAUACCGCAUACGCUCUGAGGAGGAAAGCAGGGGACCUUCGGGCCUUGCGUUAUUCGAGCGGCCAAUAUCUGAUUAGCUAGUUGGUGGGGUAAGGGCCUACCAAGGCGACGAUCAGUAGCGGGUCUGAGCGGAUGAUCCGCCACACUGGGACUGAGACACGGCCCAGACUCCUACGGGAGGCAGCAGUGGGGAAUUUUGGACAAUGGGCGCAAGCCUGAUCCAGCCAUGCCGCGUGUCUGAAGAAGGCCUUCGGGUUGUAAAGGACUUUUGUUAGGGAAGAAAAAGGAGCGGUUAAUACCCGUUUCUGCUGACGGUACCUAAAGAAUAAGCACCGGCUAACUACGUG
rnacentral:rRNA from 1 species